UACGGGGGGAGCAAGCGUUGUUCGGAUUUACUGGGCGUAAAGGGCGCGUAGGCGGCCUCCGCAAGUCAGUUGUGAAAUCUCCGAGCUUAACUCGGAAAGGUCAACUGAUACUGCGGGGCUAGAGUGCGGAAGGGGCAACUGGAAUUCUUGGUGUAGCGGUGAAAUGCGUAGAUAUCAAGAGGAACACCGAUGGCGAAGGCAGGUCUCUGGGCUGUAACUGACGCUGAGGAGCGAAAGCGUGGGGAGCAAACGGG
rnacentral:rRNA from 1 species